rnacentral:tRNA from 1 species
CAGAAGGUAGUUUAUUUAAAAUGCCGGUUUUGGGGGCCGGGGAAGUGGGCUAGGUCUCAUCCUUUUGA